GACUGUCGGAUCGGGUCCUUGGGGUCCAGUCAGAUCAUUCAAGCGUGCAUGUGGCGGGCAGGCAGGCUGCCUGAUGCAUUCCGACUUCCUGAUGUUUCCGUCCGUCUGU
rnacentral:ribozyme from 1 species